ACUAUGUGUUGGUGCAAUUCUAAUAUUUGUGAAUUAACCAGUGAUUUAGUCGUUUAAACUGCUGCUUAUGCAUAAAUAUUUACAGAUCCUGUUCUCCAAGCAUCAGAAUUGUUCAAAGUUAUGCCAUUUAACCAUGUUAUUUUGUUUGAGCAAGUUGAUACCAGAUGCAGAAUUAUUUUUUUAUAUUAUUCAUAAAGCAUUGAUUAUAUUUGUGGCACAGUCUAUAUCAUACACACCAUAUAUUUGCAAGCUGUUAAGACCUUUACGAUUAAGUAUUCUUUUUAAAUAACAUUUCUGUAUAGAACCCAAGCGACCUCUAGUGGCUAAUGUGCAGAAAGCAUUACUAUCUGUGCUUAUUUGAUUUUGUGAAGGAAUGU